rnacentral:rRNA from 1 species
CCCUUAGAUGUUCUGGGCCGCACGCGCGCUACACUGAUGCAUUCAACGAGUUUCUUCCUGGUCCGAGAGGAAUGGGUAACCUUUUGAAAGUGCAUCGUGAUAGGGAUAGACUAUUGCAAUUAUUGGUCUUCAACGAGGAAUUCCUAGUAGACGUAGUUCAUCAGACUGCAUCGAUUACGUCCCUGCCCUUUGUACACACCGCCCGUCGCUCCUACCGAUUGAAUGCUCAGGUGAGCCAUUCGGACUUUCAUCAUGCUGGUUUCCAGUUUUGAUGAAGGAAAGCCUUGCGAACCUUAUCAUUUAGAGGAAGGAGAAGUCGUAACA